rnacentral:rRNA from 1 species
GAUGAACGCUGGCGGCGUGCUUAACACAUGCAAGUCGAACGGACUUUACAUGAAGCCUAGCGAAUGUAAAGUUAGUGGCGGACGGGUGAGUAACGCGUGAAUAACCUGCCUUAUACUGGGGGACAACAGUUGGAAACGACUGCUAAUACCGCAUAAGCGCACGGAGCUGCAUGGCUCAGUGUGAAAAACUCCGGUGGUAUAAGAUGGAUUCGCGUCUGAUUAGCUAGUUGGUGAGGUAACGGCCCACCAAGGCGACGAUCAGUAGCCGGCCUGAGAGGGUGAACGGCCACAUUGGGACUGAGACACGGCCCAAACUCCUACGGGAGGCAGCAGUGGGGAAUAUUGGGCAAUGGGGGAAACCCUGAACGAGCAAUGCCGCGUGAGUGAUGAAGGUCUUUGGAUUGUAAAACUCNGUUGUAUAGGAAAAAACGAUUAAAGUUAGGAAAUGAACUUAAUGUGAUGGUACUAUACCAGAAAGCCCCGGCUAACUACGUGCCAGCAGCCG